rnacentral:rRNA from 1 species
UACGGAGGGGGCUAGCGUUGUUCGGAAUUACUGGGCGUAAAGGGUUCUUAGGUGGCUUGUUAAGUCAGACGUGAAAUCCCUCGGCUCAACCGGGGAACUGCGUCUGAGACUGAUGAGCUCGAGUGCAGGAGAGGAACGCGGAAUUCCAGGUGUAGCGGUGAAAUGCGUAGAUAUCUGGAGGAACACCGGUGGCGAAGGCGGCGUUCUGGACUGCAACUGACACUGAGGAACGAAAGCCAGGGGAGCAAACGGG